AUGACCGUAUAGUGCGUUUUUUAAAUGACUUGAAAAUAUGAAAAGACAACAUUAAAUAGAAAAAAAAACAUGAAUGGCCCACUAAACUCAAACCUUCUCCCCUCUUUUAAUUCGUUCCAGAUUCAUAAAAGUUCUCAAACUUUAAACA